rnacentral:rRNA from 1 species
ACGGGGGGUGCAAGCGUUGUUCGGAAUCAUUGGGCGUAAAGCGCGCGCAGGCGGCUUGGUAAGUCAGAUGUGAAAUCCCUGGGCUUAACCCAGGAAGUGCAUUUGAUACUGCCUCGCUAGAGUACGGGAGAGGAAAGUGGAAUUCCUGGUGUAGAGGUGGAAUUCGUAGAUAUCAGUCGGAACCCCGCUGGCGAAGGCGACUUUCUGGCCUGUUACUGUCGCUCAGGCGCGAAAGCGUGGGGAGCAAACAG